AAGCUGGUCAAACAAUGACGUCGGACAGUUACGGACUGAAAACGAGAAACAGGGAGAUUAAUUCCUGACAAUCGUUUUAUUCUACGCGCGAGGUCGCCCGUAUCACAGAGAUCGAGGAGAAGGAAUAGCAGUGGAACGAAUGUGGAAUCUUUAUGUUAAUUGGAUCGUUCGAGGUCAUUUCUAAGAGAACGGAAGUUCUUUUGAUAUCACGCGAAUUCGAGGAUUUAAGGAGGAUUUAAGGAGGACAAGGAGGAUUUAAGAAAGAAACAUUAAGGAUUGCGUAAUUAGGUGAUAGAGGAAAAAAAGAUUGCAAAGAAAUCAGCAUUAAACAAAACCCCCAAAAAAGAAAAUUUUAGAAGCAAUCGAAUCCUCGUUGAAAAGAAAUAUCAAAUUCCAACCUAUAACUCUCAAAAGUAUACCUUGGUAUUUCAACGUCAAAUACGAUACAACUUACCGCUCUACAAGAAUCUCGCAGUAGCGAUAAAACGAAUAAACACAACGAGCAACAGAUAUAUGCAAGGAACGCGGACCGCACACGAGUCGAAGAAUUCCAAAUUGCACCAAUGCCAUGAAUUCCAUGUUUUCUACGUCAAAGCAGAAACAGGAAAAAUAAUACAAGUCAAGUAAAUUCAUCGAUAUAUUCCUUUGUUUCUUCCUAUUAA
rnacentral:misc_RNA from 1 species